rnacentral:rRNA from 1 species
CCUACGGGAGGCAGCAGUGAGGAAUAUUGGUCAAUGGGCGGAAGCCUGACCCAGCAAAGUAGCGUGCGGGAUGAAGGCCCUACGGGUCGUAAACCGCUUUUGCACGGGGAUAACACCCUCCACUUGUGGAGGUCUGCGGGUACCGUGCGAAUAAGGGCCGGCUAAUUCCGUGCCAGCAGCCGCGGUAAUACGGAAGGCCCGAGGGUUGUCCGGAUUCAUUGGGCGUAAGGGGAGCGUAGGCGGGCGUUCAAGUCAGUGGUAAAAUCGCGCGGAUCAACCGCGCCCCGCAGUUGAAACUGGAGGCCUUGAGUUCACAACAGGCAGGCGGAAUUCGUGGUGUAGCGGUGAAAUGCAUAGAUAUCACGAGGAACCCCGAUUGCGAAGGCAGCCUGCCGGGGUGCGACUGACGCUGAGGCUCGAAGGUGCGGGUAGCAAACAGGAUUAGAUACCCCUGUAGUC